rnacentral:rRNA from 1 species
AUUGAACGCUGGCGGCAGGCCUAACACAUGCAAGUCGAACGGUAACAGAAAGCAGCUUGCUGCUUUGCUGACGAGUGGCGGACGGGUGAGUAAUGUCUGGGAAACUGCCUGAUGGAGGGGGAUAACUACUGGAAACGGUAGCUAAUACCGCAUAACGUCGCAAGACCAAAGAGGGGGACCUUCGGGCCUCUUGCCAUCGGAUGUGCCCAGAUGGGAUUAGCUAGUAGGUGGGGUAAAGGCUCACCUAGGCGACGAUCCCUAGCUGGUCUGAGAGGAUGACCAGCCACACUGGAACUGAGACACGGUCCAGACUCCUACGGGAGGCAGCAGUGGGGAAUAUUGCACAAUGGGCGCAAGCCUGAUGCAGCCAUGCCGCGUGUAUGAAGAAGGCCUUCGGGUCGUAAAGUACUUUCAGCGGGGAGGAAGGGAGUAAAGUUAAUACCUUUGCUCAUUGACGUUACCCGCAGAAGAAGCACCGGCUAACUCCGUG